rnacentral:ribozyme from 1 species
UGCCCAGCAACUCCUAUCCCUACCACCUCGUGGUACUGGCCGGGGUACGAGUAACAUUAGGGAAGAUCGGCCCCGGUGGGAACUUUGGUCGUAUGCUGACAGAGAAGG